rnacentral:rRNA from 1 species
GACGAACGCUGGCGGCGUGCUUAACACAUGCAAGUCGAACGGAAAGGCCCUGCUUUUGUGGGGUGCUCGAGUGGCGAACGGGUGAGUAACACGUGAGUAACCUGCCCUUGACUUUGGGAUAACUUCAGGAAACUGGGGCUAAUACCGGAUAGGAUCUCCUGCUGCAUGGUGGGGGUUGGAAAGUUUCGGCGGUUGGGGAUGGACUCGCGGCUUAUCAGCUUGUUGGUGGGGUAGUGGCUUACCAAGGCUUUGACGGGUAGCCGGCCUGAGAGGGUGACCGGCCACAUUGGGACUGAGAUACGGCCCAGACUCCUACGGGAGGCAGCAGUGGGGAAUAUUGCACAAUGAGCGGAAGCCUGAUGCAGCAACGCCGCGUGCGGGAUGACGGCCUUCGGGUUGUAAACCGAUUUCGCCUGUGACGAAGCGUGAGUGACGGUAAUGGGUAAAGAAGCACCGGCUAACUACGUG